rnacentral:rRNA from 1 species
CCUACGGGAGGCAGCAGUGAGGAAUAUUGGUCAAUGGGCGAGAGCCUGAACCAGCCAAGUCGCGUGAAGGAUGACGGCCCUACGGGUUGUAAACUUCUUUUGUCAGGGAGCAAUUGGGUCCACGCGUGGGCUUAGCGAGAGUACCUGAAGAAAAAGCAUCGGCUAACUCCGUGCCAGCAGCCGCGGUAAUACGGAGGAUGCGAGCGUUAUCCGGAUUUAUUGGGUUUAAAGGGUGCGUAGGCGGAAUAUCAAGUCAGCGGUAAAAAUUCGGGGCUCAACCCCGUCGUGCCGUUGAAACUGAUGUUCUUGAGUGGGCGAGAAGUAUGCGGAAUGCGUGGUGUAGCGGUGAAAUGCUUAGAUAUCAGGAGGAACAUCGGUGGCGUAAGCGCUUUACUGGGCCGUAAUUGACGCUGAGGAACGAAAGCCAGGGUAGCAAAUGGGAUUAGAUACCCCUGUAGUC